rnacentral:lncRNA from 1 species
GUGAACCUCAGCACCCAGGAAGCACCAGCCCUGAGCCCUAGCACCCUUCUGCUUCCUGUCUGUAUUUGAGCACUCCAGCCCCAUUGUGUAAGUGGAAUCCACUGUUUGUCCUUUUAAGAAUGUAUUUCACUCAGCAGUGUCCUCUAGUGCACCUAUGUUGUACCAUGUGAUGGGAUUUCCGCCCUUCUAAAAGGCAGAAUGCUGCUCCAGCAUGCCUACACCUACACACACUACGGCUUGUCACUCACCCCUCUGUGGGCAAUGGGUGGCUCCACCUCCUGGCUGUUUUGCGUAAUGCAGCUGUGACAGGCUUAUGGAUUUUGUUUUUUUACUAUACUGUGGAUUGAAGCCAGGGCCUCACACACACUAAGCCAGCCUUCUGCUGCUGGGUUACUUCCUCCACCUAGUGUUUUGUUUUUAUGAUGGGUGCAAUUACAUUGAGCUUACUGGAUGAUGGAAUGACGCAGAGGAUCUGGGAUGCAGGAGAUGGUACAGUACUGUCGCAAGAGGGCAAAAUUGCGACGUAUGCAGUCGAGGGGAGAAAUAAAAAUGUCCAUGUGCUUCUGCUCUUUUCAGUGCUUUA